rnacentral:tRNA from 1 species
GCUUUAAAAGCUUAUGAUAAGUAAUUAGUCUUGUAAACUAAGGGAGAAGGUUUAACUCCUUCUUAAAGCU